rnacentral:rRNA from 1 species
UACGAAGGGGGCUAGCGUUGUUCGGAAUUACUGGGCGUAAAGCGCACGUAGGCGGAUUUGUUAGUCAGGGGUGAAAUCCCGGGGCUCAACCUCGGAACUGCCUUUGAUACUGCAAGUCUCGAGUCCGGAAGAGGUGAGUGGAAUUCCUAGUGUAGAGGUGAAAUGCGUAGAUAUCUGGAGGAACACCGGUGGCGAAGGCGGCAUCCUGGACCGGCAUUGACGCUGAGGCGCGAAAGCCAGGGGAGCAAACGGG